rnacentral:rRNA from 1 species
AGUUGUUGCGGUUAAAAAGCUCGUAGUUGGAUUUCUGUUUGAGACGGCCGGUCCGCACUUAGUGCGUGUAUCUGGUUUGGCUCGGGCAUCCUCGUGGGGAUCGUUUCUGUGCUUCAUUGCAUGGGGCGGAAUUCACGACUUUUACUUUGAGGAAAUUAGAGUGUUCACGGCAAGCAAUCGCUUUGAAUACAUUAGCAUGGAAUAAUAAUAUAGGGCUUGCGUUCUAUUUUGUUGGUUUCUAGAACAUAAGCAAUGAUUAAUAGGGACAAUUGGGGGCAUUCGUAUUAACGCGUCAGAGGUGGAAUUCUUAGAUUGCGUUACGACGAACUACUGCGAAAGCAUUUGCCAAGGAUGUUUUCAUUGAUCAAGAACGAAAGUAUGGGGAUCGAAGACGAUUAGAUACCGUCGUAGUCUAUACCAUAAACUAUGCCAAUUAGAGAUCGGAGGUCGUUCAUUUUUGACACCUUCGGCACCUUAUGAGAAAUCAAAAUUUUUGGGUUCCGGGGGGAGUAUGGUCGCAAGGCUGAAACUUAAAGGAAUUGACGGAAGGGCACCACCAGGAGUGGAGCCUGCGGCUUAAUUUGACUCAACACGGGAAAACUUACCAGGUCCAGACAUAGUAAGGAUUGAUAGAUUGAUAGCUCUUUCUUGAUUCUAUGGGUGGUGGUGCAUGGCCGUUCUUUAUUGGUGGAGUGAUUUGUCUGGGUAAUUCCGUUUACGAACGAGAUCUUAACCUGCUAAAUAG